AUAUCUGGACAUUUUCUGUCCAAAAUAGCUGACAUUUUUCAAAUAUAUUUUGUGAACAAAUACUUUGAAGUAUUGACUUUACAUAAAAAUGAUAGAGAAAAGAAAAAAUCUAAAUAAAGUUGUUGAAAAUGAUAAUGCUUAAAAUCAGGAAGGAUGUUAGCUAUAUUAUACAAUUGUUUUAUACAACUUAUAAGGAAGUAACUGUAAGAGAUGAUAAUAGACAUUUUGAAUUUUAAGAACAAUUUGUUUUUCCAUUGAAUUGCAUGCAUUUCAAUAUAAGGGUGGUUUAUGGACCAAAUCAGUCUCUUGUGUCUUUUAUUCAUAUUUUAGGCCUAAGAGAUUAAAGUUCAAAAGCGAU
rnacentral:misc_RNA from 1 species